UCUCGCAGGAAAGUGCAGAAGGUCGU
rnacentral:sRNA from 1 species